rnacentral:rRNA from 1 species
AGUGAACGCUGGCGGUAGGCCUAACACAUGCAAGUCGAACGGCAGCACAGUAAGAGCUUGCUCUUACGGGUGGCGAGUGGCGGACGGGUGAGGAAUACAUCGUAAUCUACUUUUUCGUGGGGGAUAACGUAGGGAAACUUACGCUAAUACCGCAUACGACCUACGGGUGAAAGCAGGGGAUCUUCGGACCUUGCGCGAUUGAAUGAGCCGAUGUGGGAUUAGCUAGUUGGCGGGGUAAAGGCCCACCAAGGCGACGAUCCGUAGCUGGUGUGAGAGGAUGAUCGGCGACACUGGAACUGAGACACGGUCCAGACUCCUACGGGAGGCAGCAGUGGGGAAUAUUGGACAAUGGUCGCAAGCCUGAUCCAGCCAUACCGCGUGGGUGAAGAAGGCCUUCGGGUUGUAAAGCCCUUUUGUUGGGAAAGAAAAGCAGCAGGUUAAUACCCCGCUGUUCUGACGGUACCCAAAGAAUAAGCACCGGCUAACUUCGUG